rnacentral:rRNA from 1 species
UACAUGGGGUGCAAACGUUGCUCGGAAUUAUUGGGCGUAAAGCGCGCGUAGGCGGUUAUCUAAGUCGGAUGUGAAAGCCCUCGGCUUAACUGAGGAAGUGCACCCGAAACUGGGUAGCUAGAGUACUAAAGAGGGUCGCGGAAUUCCCGGUGUAGAGGUGAAAUUCGUAGAUAUCGGGAGGAACACCGGUGGCGAAGGCGGGUCUCUGGGCCACUACUGACGCUGAGAAGCGAAAGCAUGGGGAGCGAACAGG